UACGGGGGGGGCAAGCGUUGUUCGGAAUUACUGGGCGUAAAGGGCUCGUAGGUGGCCAACUAAGUCAGACGUGAAAUCCCUCGGCUUAACCGGGGAACUGCAUCUGAUACUGGAUGGCUUGAAUCCGGGAGAGGGAUGCGGAAUUCCAGGUGUAGCGGUGAAAUGCGUAGAUAUCUGGAGGAACACCGGUGGCGAAGGCGGCAUCCUGGACCGGCAUUGACGCUGAGGAGCGAAAGCCAGGGGAGCAAACGGG
rnacentral:rRNA from 1 species